UGUUUUCAGCCCAGCCGCCGCCGAUUCCUUCUCCUCCGUCGUCUGCACUGCCGCGCGACUCUCCGGCCAUUUGUAUACGGUCUCUCCGUCGCACGUCAUCUCUUCGCAAAGCCACUGCUCGAUUUCUUUCGUGAAGAUUUGGGUUCGUUCUUCAUAGACUUCAACGUGGUUAAGGAGCUUAACAAAUUUGAAGGCAAAGGUAAUAAAGGCGGCAAACCGGCGAGGGGCAGGAAGGAAGCGUGAUGCCAUAGGAAACGUGUAAUUGCUUCCGCUUAAUUAAGAUUGAUUUGAAAUUUAGUUUACAAACGUUUGUUGCAAACAGUAUUAGUUUAUGUUUUCUUGAAUGUUUAAAAAUCAGGCCUGACUUGAAGAUGUU